rnacentral:rRNA from 1 species
UACGUAGGGCGCGAGCGUUAUCCGGAAUUACUGGGCGUAAAGCGCACGUAGGCGGCUUUGUAAGUUAGGGGUGAAAGCCUGGAGCUCAACUCCAGAAUUGCCUUUAAGACUGCAUCGCUUGAAUCCAGGAGAGGUGAGUGGAAUUCCGAGUGUAGAGGUGAAAUUCGUAGAUAUUCGGAAGAACACCAGUGGCGAAGGCGGCUCACUGGACUGGUAUUGACGCUGAGGUGCGAAAGCGUGGGGAGCAAACAGG